rnacentral:rRNA from 1 species
UACGUAGGGUGCAAGCGUUGUCCGGAAUUAUUGGGCGUAAGAGCUCGUAGGCGGUCUGUCGCGUCGGCUGUGAAAACCUGGGGCUCAACCCCGGGCCUGCAGCCGAUACGGGCAGACUAGAAUUCGGUAGGGGAGACUGGAAUUCCUGGUGUAGCGGUGAAAUGCGCAGAUAUCAGGAGGAACACCGGUGGCGAAGGCGGGUCUCUGGGCCGAUAUUGACGCUGAGGCGCGAAAGCGUGGGGAGCAAACAGG